rnacentral:tRNA from 2 species
GGCGGGGUAGCUCAGGUGGUUAGAGCAAACGGCUCAUAAUCGUUGUGUCGCGGGUUCGAGUCCCGCCCCCGCUACCA